rnacentral:rRNA from 1 species
CCGAUGGCGACCGGCGCACGGGUGAGCAACACGUAUCCAACCUGCCGAUAACUCGGGGAUAGCCUUUCGAAAGAAAGAUUAAUAUCCGAUAGGAUAUCAAGGUCGCAUGAUCUUGAUAUUAAAGAAUUUCGGUUAUCGAUGGGGAUGCGUUCCAUUAGUUAGUUGGCGGGGUAACGGCCCACCAAGACGACGAUGGAUAGGGGUUCUGAGAGGAAGGUCCCCCACAUUGGAACUGAGACACGGUCCAAACUCCUACGGAAGGCAGCAG